rfam:Microgenomates bacterium GW2011_GWF1_38_5 TS97_C0020, whole genome shotgun sequence.
GGGCCGCUAGCUCAAUGGUAGAGCAGUACCCUCUUAAGGUAACGGUUACAGGUUCGAAUCCUGUGCGGCUCA